rnacentral:rRNA from 1 species
AGGGAAGGGGGGAAAAAAUUAAAGCAUGCGCAGCUAUACAUGCAAGUCGAGCGAACUGAUUAGAAGCUUGCUUCUAUGACGUUAGCGGCGGACGGGUGAGUAACACGUGGGCAACCUGCCUGUAAGACUGGGAUAACUUCGGGAAACCGAAGCUAAUACCGGAUAGGAUCUUCUCCUUCAUGGGAGAUGAUUGAAAGAUGGUUUCGGCUAUCACUUACAGAUGGGCCCGCGGUGCAUUAGCUAGUUGGUGAGGUAACGGCUCACCAAGGCAACGAUGCAUAGCCGACCUGAGAGGGUGAUCGGCCACACUGGGACUGAGACACGGCCCAGACUCCUACGGGAGGCAGCAGUAGGGAAUCUUCCGCAAUGGACGAAAGUCUGACGGAGCAACGCCGCGUGAGUGAUGAAGGCUUUCGGGUCGUAAAACUCUGUUGUUAGGGAAGAACAAGUACGAGAGUAACUGCUCGUACCUUGACGGUACCUAACCAGAAAGCCACGGCUAACUACGUGCCACAGCCAGCCUGUCGGUAAUUUACGUAGGUGGCUAUAGCAAGUUAUUAAUCCAGCAUAUUUACUUGCGUCGUUAAUAGCGCCGCCGCCAGGCGGCUUUUCCUUAAGUAAUGAUUGUGAAACCCCCACGUGCCUCAACCCCGUGGGAGGGUUCAUUAGAAAAUGUGUGGAACCUUGAGUACAGAAGAGAAAACGCGGAAUUCCCACGUGUAGCGGUGAAAUGCGUAGAGAUGUGGAGGAAACACCAGUGGCGAAAGCGGCUUUUUUGGUCUGUAACUGACGCUGAGGCGAGAAAGCGUGGGGAGCAACACAGGAUUAGAUACCCUGGUAGUCCACGCCGUAAACGAUGAGUGCUAAGUGUUGAGAGGGUUUUCCGCCCCUUUAGUGCUGCAGCUAACGCACUAAGCACUCCCGCCCUGGGGGAGGUACGGUCGCAAGACUGAAACAUCAAAGAAAUUGACGGGGGCCCCGCACAAGCGGUGGAAGCAUGUGGGUCUAAUUACGAAGCAACGCCGCAAGAACCAUACCCAGGGUCUUGGGGACAUCCUUUGACAACUCUAGAGAUAGAGCGUUCCCCUUCGGGGGACAGAGUGACAGGUGGUGCAUGGUUGUCGUCAGCUCGUGUCGUGAGAUGUUGGGUUAAGUCCCGCAACGAGCGCAACCCUUGAUCUUAGUUGCCAGCAUUUAGUUGGGCACUCUAAGGUGACUGCCGGUGACAAACCGGAGGAAGGUGGGGAUGACGUCAAAUCAUCAUGCCCCUUAUGACCUGGGCUACACACGUGCUACAAUGGAUGGUACAAAGGGCUGCAAGACCGCGAGGUCAAGCCAAUCCCAUAAAACCAUUCUCAGUUCGGAUUGUAGGCUGCAACUCGCCUACAUGAAGCUGGAAUCGCUAGUAAUCGCGGAUCAGCAUGCCGCGGUGAAUACGUUCCCGGGCCUUGUACACACCGCCCGUCACACCACGAGAGUUUGUAACACCCGAAGUCGGUGGAGUAACCGUAAGGAAGGCUUAGCCCCGGCU